rnacentral:rRNA from 1 species
UACGGAGGGGGCUAGCGUUGUUCGGAAUUACUGGGCGUAAAGCGUGCGCAGGCGGCGCCGCAAGUCGAGUGUGAAAUCCCCGAGCUUAACUUGGGAAUUGCGCUCGAAACUACGGUGCUGGAGUGUGGCAGAGGGAGGUGGAAUUCCACGUGUAGCGGUGAAAUGCGUAGAGAUGUGGAGGAACACCGAUGGCGAAGGCGGCUUCUUGGGCCGUUCCUGACGCUGAUGCGCGAAAGCCAGGGGAGCGAACGGG